AUUUAUAAAAAAACAAUCUAUACACAGUGUACUUUACAAUAAAAAUAAGAAAUCCUUUACAAUUUUUCAUAUUUUUAUUUUACGAGAAAACGCACUUCCAUUUCUCUAGUCGGCAAACGGUGGCUUAGAAAUCGAUUUUAUCGACCAAAAGAAAAAUGUUUUGUUUAUAAUUUCAAUCUCAUAGCAAAAACAUUAAUACUUAUGUAGCUAAGUUUCUAGUGGAACCAGUUCUGGAAAUGAUAAAGUUGGAACACAUUCUCAAAAUUAUCGUGAACAAAGCAAAAUUAGAGAUUUCAUGCACUUAAUUUAUAUGGAAGAUUCUAUAGUCGGGCCUGGCUGACCAUAUGAUACCCUACUCCAGUGAAUAGCAACUUUGUAUGGGGGCUAGAGUCAAAUGAAGCUCGAUCAUUACGAAAAUCACCAGUAACUUUCAGACUUGCCAAAACUAAGUUGUGCUAAUUUUGGUAGAAUUACUAAAACAUUUAACAUAAUUAUGGACUCAAUAGCCCUAUUUAGAGGGUGUGGCUGUAUCAGAGCUAGGUGAAAUAAUAAACCGAUUUUAAUCAUUUUCAAUAGAUAUUGUCCCUGUGUCAAAAUAAACGUUUGUGUCAAGUUUCAUGAUUAUUUUGAAAAUUACUAUAUCAAUCCAAAAAAUGAUUAUGA